CCCCCCCUCCCCCGCUCCCUCCGCUCCGUGCUCGGCUCGUCGGCGCCUGCGAACCGAGGACAACGGACCCACUCCCUCACGGUGGACCCGCCAUGUUCCUGCCAGUGAGUGAGGAGGACGGGGCGGCAGCAGCAGCCAGUGGGCGUCUUUUUGACACUUCCAACAUAUAGCUCUGCACUGCUGCCCUUGUGGCUAUUCAUAACUGCUCUUGAGAGUGGAUGAACAAGCCUCAAAUGGAACCUGAGAAGAAAAAAAAAGGGGAGGAGAGGAGGAGGGAGAAAAUCAAUUUUCCCAGACAGAGCCAGGCUGGUCUAAUGGAUGUCUAAAAAGAGGAGGAGGAGGAGGAGAGGACAUAUUUUCCUCUGAUUACCUCCUGUAGCCUGCCUGGCAAACCUUCAAAGCUAGCAUCACUACGACGGCCUCGCUCAUCUGACCUUUUCGGAGAAGGUAUGGAGCUUUCACUCGGCCGCAAUCAUGCUUUGAGCUGGACACACACAAAAAAAAGAAAAAGAAAAAAAAGAGACUGCUAAAUGACUGAUUGCAAGGAAAUUGCGAGCAAACAAAGUGACCUGAUAGACUUUGGACUUAAAGUGAAACUUGUCAUCUUAAGUAGAAAUGCUCAUUUUAUUCCCCCCCCCCCCUCUUUACUUUGAAUUCCCCACAAUGGCAGCACAUUUUAAAGGCACAUCUAAGCUAAUUUCUUCUUUUUCAAUCUCCAUCCCUGGGUAUUAUAGAAGUUAUGUAACCCGCUGUUACAGCUCUGCAGAGAGAAAAUGAGCUGGAUUAAAUGGAUAAAGGUUU